rnacentral:rRNA from 1 species
GACGAACGCUGGCGGCGUGCUUAACACAUGCAAGUCGAACGGAAAGGCCCUGCUUUUGUGAGGUGCUCGAGUGGCGAACGGGUGAGUAACACGUGAGUAACCUGCCCUUGACUUUGGGAUAACUUCAGGAAACUGGGGCUAAUACCGGAUAGGAGCUCCUGCUGCAUGGUGGGGGUUGGAAAGUUUCGGCGGUUGGGGAUGGACUCGCGGCUUAUGAGCUUGUUGGUGGGGUAGUGGCUUACCAAGGCUUUGACGGGUAGCCGGCCUGAGAGGGUGACCGGCCACAUUGGGACUGAGAUACGGCCCAGACUCCUACGGGAGGCAGCAGUGGGGAAUAUUGCACAAUGGGCGGAAGCCUGAUGCAGCAACGCCGCGUGCGGGAUGACGGCCUUCGGGUUGUAAACCGCUUUCGCCUGUGACGAAGCGUGAGUGACGGUAAUGGGUAAAGAAGCACCGGCUAACUACGUG